UAGGGAAUCUUCGGCAAUGGACGAAAGUCUGACCGAGCAACGCCGCGUGAGUGAAGAAGGUUUUCGGAUCGUAAAACUCUGUUUGUUAGAGAAGAACAAGGGUGAGAGUAACUGUUCACCCCUUGACGGUAUCUAACCAGAAAGCCACGGCUAACUACGUGCCGG
rnacentral:rRNA from 1 species